rnacentral:tRNA from 1 species
GGGGUUGUGGCUUAGAGGUAGACCUCUUGCCUAGCAUGCACGAGGCACUGGGUUCGAUCCUCAGCACCACA